UAACCAUCACAUAAGAUAAUGUGAAGAAUUAUUAAUUUUCGGUUGUUAUUUGUCUUUUUCAAGAGAAAGCUACCAAGAUGGCAAAAUUACUGCUAUUUGAGGAAUAGCCACAGAUUGAGAUGUUAAACUGGAAAGGAGAAGACUUAGGAACAUAUAAUACUACACAGAUAGUGGCACCAUCCAGAGAUAUAUAAUGUGUGUAUAAGGUUAUAUUUCCUCUGCCUUUCAAAAUGCUCCAAUGUCUGCAUGGGAAAGGCAGAGAGCACAACCAGGACUCUCAGAGGAGACACAUUUUGACUCAAGACUGAACCAUCAGGAACUGUGACUUCUGACCGCAGUGGGUCCUGAGCCGACUCACUACUGCCCUCCUGUGAUCACUAGGUGCCAAAUAAACUUCAAGAUCUGAUUUUGAGGAAGACUUCGUUAUUCCUGGUUGUUGGUAACUACUGAAAUCUCUCUUUGCUUAGAGUUUCUCUUUAUUAAGAGAGAUAUCAGUUUUAAUCUAAAGAAUUGAAAAUGUUCUUGAAGACUGUUGUGAAUUACUAGCCACCUCUUGUAAAGGGUGUCCCAAAAUUCAUGCAAGA